AUUGAACGCUGGCGGCAUGCCUUACACAUGCAAGUCGAACGGCAGCGCGGGCUUCGGCCUGGCGGCGAGUGGCGGACGGGUGAGUAAUGCAUCGGAACGUGCCCAGGAGUGGGGGAUAACGUAGCGAAAGUUACGCUAAUACCGCAUACGUACUGAGGUAGAAAGCGGGGGAUCGAAAGACCUCGCGCUCAUGGAGCGGCCGAUGUCGGAUUAGCUAGUUGGCGGGGUAAAAGCCCACCAAGGCGACGAUCCGUAGCUGGUCUGAGAGGACGACCAGCCACACUGGGACUGAGACACGGCCCAGACUCCUACGGGAGGCAGCAGUGGGGAAUCUUGGACAAUGGGGGAAACCCUGAUCCAGCAAUGCCGCGUGUGGGAUGAAGGCCCUCGGGUUGUAAACCACUUUUGGCAGGAAAGAAAUCGCCUGUGCUAAUACCACGGGCGGAUGACGGUACCUGCAGAAUAAGCACCGGCUAACUACGUGCCAGCAGCCGCGGUAA
rnacentral:rRNA from 1 species